rnacentral:lncRNA from 1 species
ACUAGCCUACAACUUCGAACCCUUUCCCCUGGCAAAAUUGCUCGCAAAUCUUAUUUCUUUUCAAGCAGGACUAGCACACAUGCAGCUGGACCAUCUCUGAAGCAGCCUUAUAAACGGAAUUAUGCCAGCAUCAAGUCUUUUCAGGUGGAUAGACCACAUGCCAGGCACAGCUGGAGGGGGCUCUUGAUAAUAACCAUGGAAAUGACAAUCCAAUUGCUAGCUGGUGUUUGAGAAUCAAACAGGACCCAUUACUUCGACGGAGAUUUCCCGAGGGAGCUUCAGAUUUAUUUGAUGUGUUUCCCAUCCAGCUGCUUGAUGAAAUCCUCAAACUUAGCUUCC